GAGCUUAGGCGCAGUGGUGGCACCAAGCAUGGUCUUUAGUCCUUCAUGAUCUCCUUCAACAUCUCAGGCUUCCCCAGAUAAACAUAGAAUCUACGUAAAAGUCUUAAACCUGCAAUACAAUACACAGCUUGAAACAAGGCCCUCAGCUGGGCCCUCUGACCAGAUUGUGUCCCCUAAACUUUUCCUGUAAAAAAACUAGUGCUGCCACUGUAGGCCCUACUAUCUUUAAAGUGGGAUGAGGGCAAAGCACAGCUGGGCAAGGGUAACAGUGAGUCCCAUCAGCAUUGAACCCUUCCUUCCUCUCUUUCUCUGGGAUACUGGGUUGGUAGCCCACAAACAGGGCAGCUUCCUGAAGCCCCCAGGUUCACUGGUGCAGCAUAAAGUGAGGGUGCAGGAGAGACCCUUGCGGCUCCAGCCCACAAUGACCGUCAGCCGCUCACAGAGCCCGAAGCCGCCUCCGGUCGACUGGAAGACAUACACCUCUUCAGGCCAAAGGUUGAAGCCUGCUACUUCCCCCUCUCCCAGACCCUGCAAUGAACAGGGAGUGGGGGCAGGGGACCUCAGAGAGAUGGCUUCAUUCCUAAGGUCCCAGGAAAGGCUACUCACCCCAUCUCGAAGGCAGCUACCAGCAGGAGGCAGUCCACGCAGCCCCCAAUUCUCAUCUACCCACAGGAGUCGAGACCCACAAUGCACUCCAUUAGGGAAGAGAGAGGACAAAUCCCCGAGUGACCUCUCCAGGGGAAGGACUCCCACAUCUUGGGUUCAUGAGGAGAAAUCCAGCCAGGGAAUCCAUGCCAGGGUCCCUACCCCCAAGAGACUCCAAGAGGCCACCACCAAAGGGACAUUAGUAAGAAGACCUUCUCUCCUGUCUUGUCCCUCUGGCGCAGCCCAGCCCUCAGGCCUCAGGCUGCCACUUCAGAGUGAGGCUGAGGGUGCUUCCCCCCAACUCAGGGAACUGGCAUCAGUUCGUUCUCCAUCCCCUGUCAAAGGACUCACCAGGAUCCCCAUCCAGUGGUCCCCUGCCCACCCCUCCACCCCAGGAAGCAGCUUUCCAGGCACUGCAAGUGGAGGUCCCAUGGCAGAACCAGAGAGAGGCCCCAGUCCAUUAAGGGUUGUCGCUGGGGACCUGGCUAGGUCCAGACAUGGGGACUGCUCUGUAGAAGCGAGGCAGAGAGACCAGCAGACAAACAACCAGGUCCCUCCAGAGACGGGAGCACCCCAGGGCCUGAGCCAACAGGAGUGGGAAGGGAGGUCCACACCACUGGCCUUGGGCAGAAUCAAAGAGAAAGACAUCUACUGUAGCCUUGAAGAGGACAUUGUGGCCAACAUGAAGCUACUAGAGGUGGGGGGUGCCCAUCCCCAGAGUACAAGGUCUCGAGUUAUCCCUCGUAGUGGAGUCUAUGUCCCCAGUCUGGGCGGGCAGUGGCCUGAGCCUGGAGGUCCUUAUGACAAAGUCAUCCAAGAACUGGCUCAGGGACCCCCACUCCUUCUUAAAGUGGAUCUGGAAGCCUGGAAGGGAGUCCCUAGAAACUCCCUUAAGCCAACUGUUAGCACAGGCCCUGGAAACCCAAAAGGGGAGCUAGGAGCCAGAGAGAGUGAGCCAAGGGCAAGAGCAAACCCAAGUGCCAUGGGCACCAGGAUGAGGGAAAUCUCACCUCCAAGAAGGCAGGACUGCUCAGGCCCGACUGUGUCUGCCAGCCUGGAGGCCCCCAGUUCUGACAAAGCCAAGGCAUGCCUGGGCAAAGGCAAGAGAACACUCCGGAAGCCCCAGAGAAUCCCGUCCAUCUACAAGCUGAAGCUGAGGCCCAGAAUCCGGCCCCGGAGAGACCACAGACCUGAGAAACGGCCUUCCCGAAUCCCCAAGCCACUGGCCUACCUCCAUCUGGGUUUGGCCAGGGCGCCCCCCAAGGGCAAGCUCUUGAGAGUUGCACUGGGCAGCCAGGACGGGGAGGCAUCUCAGAUGGAUGGAGCUUCAGCGGGCAAGGAGAAGAAAGAGCCAGUCACCCCCAAGCAAAGCAGCCCCCAGCCUCAAGUAAGGCAGCUGAAUCAAGUCCCACUCCUACCAGAGGAAGAAUCUUGGGUCUGA
rnacentral:lncRNA from 1 species